CCUACGGGUGGCAGCAGUGGGGAAUAUUGCACAAUGGGGGAAACCCUGAUGCAGCGACGCCGCGUGAGUGAAGAAGUAUUUCGGUAUGUAAAGCUCUAUCAGCAGGGAAGAAAAUGACGGUACCUGAUUAAGAAGCCCCGGCUAACUACGUGCCAGCAGCCGCGGUAAUACGUAGGGGGCAAGCGUUAUCCGGAUUUACUGGGUGUAAAGGGGGCGUAGACGGGAGCACAAGUCUGGAGUGAAAUGCCGGGGCUUAACCCCGGAACUGCUUUGGAAACUGGGCAGCUAGAGUGCAGGAGGGGUAAGUGGAAUUCCUAGGGGAGCGGGGAAAAG
rnacentral:rRNA from 1 species